rnacentral:rRNA from 1 species
UACGUAGGGGGCAAGCGUUAUCCGGAUUUACUGGGUGUAAAGGGAGCGCAGACGGAACUGCAAGUCUGAUGUGAAAGCCCGGGGCUCAACCGCGGGACUGCAUCGGAUACUGUAGAUCUGGAGUGCCGGAGGGGCAAGCGGAAUUCCUGGUGUAGCGGUGAAAUGCGUAGAUAUCAGGAGGAACACCGGCGGCGAAGGCGGCUUGCUGGACGGCAACUGACGUUGAGGCUCGAAAGCGUGGGGAGCAAACAGGAUUAGAUACCCGGGUA